rnacentral:tRNA from 1 species
GGAGAGGUGGCUGAGUGGUUUAAAGCGAUAGAUUGCUAAUCUGUUGUACAUUCAUUAUUUGUACCGAGGGUUCGAAUCCCUCUCUCUCCU